UCCUCUGUAAGAAAAAGUAACUUUUAGCCGAAACCGGUUUGGCUCGGUGGAUAGAGCGUCGGCCUGCGGACUGAAGGGUCCCGGGUUCGAUUCCGGUCAAGGGCAUGUACCUGGGUUGUGGGCACAUCCCCAGUGGGGGAUGUGCAGGAGGCAGCUGAUCGAUGUUUCUCUCUCAUCGAUGUUUCUAACUCUAUCUCUCUCCCUUCCUCUCUGUAAAAAAUCAAUAAAAUAUAUUUUUAAAAAAAGUAACUUUUAAAUCCUACUUUUGCAAAUUCUACAAAAACCAUUGAACACAGUGCCAAGUCCUUCCAGGGCCCGGGCAGGGGCUCCUGCAAAGGGGUGGCCCUGAGGCUGGUCCUCCCAUUGCAGGUGACAAUCUCUGUGCCCAGGGCUGGGGACGGGGGGGGGGGGCGGGGGGCGUCCUAGAGUUCACGUGGCCAAACACCUGCUCGGAGCCUGGGUUUCAGCUGGUGCCGCCUCGUGGGGAUGCGUAAACCAGGGCUCAACCUCGGGCCCACAGUGCAGGCAGCACACAGUGUGAGUGCAGGCAGCACACAGUGUGAGUGCAGGCAGCACGCAGUGUGAGUGCAGGCAGCACGCAGUGUGAGAGCAGGCAGCACGCAGUGUGGGAGCAGGCAGCACAGUGUGAGUGCAGGCAGCACACAGUGUGAGUGCAGGCAGCACACAGUGUGAGAGCAGGCAGCACACAGUGUGAGUGCAGGCAGCACACAGUGUGAGAGCAGGCAGCACACAGUGUGAGAGCAGGCAGCACACAGUGUGAGUGCAGGCAGCACACAGUGUGAGAGCAGGCAGCACACAGUGUGAGAGCAGGCAGCACACAGUGUGAGAGCAGGCAGCACACAGUGUGAGAGCAGGCAGCACACAGUGUGAGUGCAGGCAGCACACAGUGUGAGAGCAGGCAGCACACAGUGUGAGUGCAGGCAGCACACAGUGUGAGAGCAGGCAGCACGCAGUGUGAGUGCAGGCAGAGCGCUUCAGAGACUAGGAAGUGACUCCCGGGGGACCCCUCCCAGUUGGGCUCCCGCUCCCUUUGGCCCCUCAGGGUGCCUGGAACUGGGAUCACAAACUGAGAAGCCUCCCCCAGCACCCAACCUCUCCCCUACCUGCUGGCUCCCUCUACAGGCCACUCUGGGUGGUUUCUAGGGUCAGCUGGUCUCUCCAGCUGAGCCUGGAGCAUGUGGCCGUGGGCAGAUGCAAGCAGAGCAGUGAAGGCAGAACUGAGCCUAGAACGGGGCUGGGGGCAGGAGGAGGAUGCAGUGAGGUGCUCCGGGCGGGCGGGCAGUGUCCUGGCCUCUCCCCUGUGGUGCUGGGAGGCACAGAGAGCACAAAGCCCUUCUGUGGAGGAGCCCGCUGAGGACUGGAAUGGGGUGCAUGUGUGUGUGCGUGCAUGCGCGCGUGCAGACACACUUUCUGAACUUAUGCCCAAAAAACAACUGGGUAUCAGUGGAGACUGGGCUGUGGUCCAGGGAGGAGGCCUGGGCAGAGUGAGCCACAGUCAGGAAGGGUGUCUGGAGCAGGUGCUGGGAGGGGGUCCCCGUCAGCCUGAGCCUUCACACAGACACGCAGCCACUCGGCUCAGCUGGCCACCAGCGCAGGGGGGCGAGGACGGAGGAUGCCUGGUCAGGGAUGGGCAGAGCAGAGGUGAAUGAGCACAAAGCAGGGAGGGCCGCAGUGAGAGCGGGGGUGUGGUAGGCAGAAGCAAGGCUCCCAAGAUCCUGUGUCCCAAUCCCUGGAGCCUGUGAAUCAGAAUUUACAGGCAAAGAGGGAUUAAGGACCCUCUUGGGCCUUCUUACCCUGACCAUCCGUCAAGAUCGGAAAACCUCACUCUGGCUGCUCCGUGGCAUUCAGUACGGGAGCCCAAGCCCGAGGGCUGCAUUCCUUGCCGCAUCUUCUCUCCAUAUAAAAGGCUAAUAUGCUAAGUGUCCGUCUGGGUAAUGCUGUCACAUAGCAACGCCCGGCUUCCUCUCCCUAGCAACCACUAGCCUCCUUGCAGUUUCUUCAGCCCAGGAACAGGACUUGCUUUAUAGCCAGGUGCAAACAUUUCACACUGUAACCAAAUGUCUGUGAAGCAUUUUCCGUGCCUCAUCUCAUGUGAUCCUCACAGAAGUCGUGGAGUAGGUAGAUAGGAGACUCGGUAGAAUCCUAUUUUCUUUUCAUUAGCCAGAAAACAGAGAUUUACAAAGUUUAGAAACUUGACCCGACUGAAAAGAAGUAAGAACUAGUAGACCUUGAAAAUGACUUCAGGUUUUCUCACUGUGCAGAACAUAGUCAAACACUGCUGCAGUUACAUAUUUUACCCUUUGUUCUCCCUGCGUGAUCUACAAUAAUAAUCUGCUUCAUGUUGGUAUUUACUGCUGUGUUGCUGACAAUUACCUGAAAGAGAAGUUGGGGUGCUUCACUGGGCUGGAAAAAGUUUAGCUACAUCAGAAAGCAGGUCUAAUUAAGCAGGUUUAUUCUAUAUCUAUGAAAGGCUAAGUUGACUCACGCAUGUGCAAUACAUAUAAAGCUCUCGCUAGUGCCAAUGGCACACGUGUGUUUCGAUCUGUCAUUGUCGAUCGUGAAUUUGGUUGACACUUCUUUAUAGAGAAAGGGCAAAUAGUGAUAUUAAAGUAUUUCUUCUAAUUAAUUUCCUUUCAAUGUGCACGAAUCUGUGCACCGGGCCACUAGUAGUUAAUAAAAAGCCAACACUCAGCUGCAAUCAGCUCCCAGGCUGUAAGUUUCCCGGCAAAGAGGUAUUAAGUAGCUAAUUGGCUAACUGUAGGGAGAUGUGGACUCUCCACCUUGGCCCCGUGUAGUAAUAAUCAUAAGGGUCCUUAACCCUGGACGUGGAAGGCAGAGGGGAGUCGGAGAAAGAGGUGUGAGGAGGGACAGUCAGAGUGCCGGCCGAGGACCCCCGUCUCCUUCCCCGGCUUGAAGUGGGAGGGAGGGGCCACGAGCCAAGGAGCAAAGGCGGCCUCUGGAAGCUGGAACAGUAAACAGGUUCUUGCCUAGAGCACGGAAUGCAGCCCUGCCCACACCCUCAUCUCGGCCAGUGAGUUCAUUUCAGACUUCUGACCUCCAGGACUGAGACGCUUUCCGGGCACAGGACUUCCCCAACCUCCAGACGAUGCUCACCCACAGGAACAAGGCCCAGUGCAGCUUCCUGUGGGGUCCACAGCGCUCCAGAGGGCCGGCCCGACGCCGUCCUUGCCCAACAGGAUCUGUGGGAAACAAACUGCCCUGCCCUGGCCCUGGCCCUGGGGAGCCCUCAGGGAAGGUUGAGAAUCGCCCAAACCUCCCGGGUUCUCUGCCAUCUCCCGAGACACUGCCCUGGGCCCCAUCCCCAGGUGUGAGGAGGCACCUGGUGACAGGUGGCUCAGGGCCACAGGACAGGGACAAAGGCCCAGCAGCCUGUCACUCCUUGUUUCCCUGCCUCUCCGCAGAGCUCCUGCCUUGGUUCCCACCACGAACCCCAAACCUCUCUUGGACCUUCUUACUCGGACCAACCACCAAGAUUGGAAAACUGCACUCUGGCUGCUCCGUGGGUGCAGCAGGGAGCCCGAGGGCCGCAUCCCUUGGCGCAUAGUUAAUAAAAAGCCAACGCGCAGCUGUGACCAGCUCCCAGGCUGCAAUCGCACACUCGCAUUACUCACAUCAUAAACACCAAAGCUGCUGGAAACGGAUUUUAUUAUUAAUAAUUCACAUGGUACAAAACAGUCAAAAUAUUCAAAGGACAUUUAGUAAAAGGCUUUGUCCAAAGGACAGGCAGAAAAGGUUAAGACACAAUGGAUGCUUAGAAAACAGGAGAAAGACAGGAGUAAAAACAAGUAAUCUGUGUACACACACGCCCGUCACACCUACACGCCCCCUGGGCCCAUCAGAUAAGAAUUCACUUGGCAUCAAAACAGUGUGUGGGACUAGAGGACCAGAGGGCUGGGAGCCAGACGCGGCAGCCGGGGAGGGGAGUGACUCCAGGCUGGGGCACCUAUUUAUUAUGACAAAUAAGGAAGUCCCUGCUGCCGGAGGCAAGCCCACCUCGCACACCUGGAGUGUCGAACGUCAUCAAGGGAGGAGGUGGCUCUGGCAUCUGGAGACAGGCGGUUGGCAUUUCCUCGCCCACAUCCCACCAGGAAGGGGAGACAACGUGAGCCCUGUGCUGGCUGAGCAGGCGCCUCUUCCCUGCGCAAAGUCCCAGGAAGCUGAGCCAGGCCCCCCACAGAGGAGCCCAGGGCCAGGGAGGAGCUCCUGGGCUGGCCGUGCCCAGCACCAUUCACCUUGGCCAUUUGUUCCCAAGAAAGAGACCGGCUGCUGGGGUGGGACUUCCCGCAUGGCCGGUCCCCGGGGCCAGGCCCGAUGGUCACCUCUGAGGGGGGCCGGGCUCUGAGGGUGUGGGGUUCUCCUGAGUUGCCCCAGAGUUUACAGGCUUCAAGGAACCAAAGCAGACGAGUAAAAACCAAAACAAACCUGAAGCCCCGGGGGAUUGGGAGCUUCUCCGGUGGGGGUGGGGGUGGGCGUGGGCGUGGGGGCCGGUGGGCCUGCGGGUCCCGGACAGCCCCUGCAGCAGUGACAUCACCAGAGCUAGCAAAGAGGCACUUUCCUGCUGGUCAGUGUCUCCUGCCCACAGAGAGGCCUGAGUGAAGGGCACAGGGUGCCCUGCUGAGCUGGGCCCUGCCCAGCUCCCUCGUUCCAUCCAGCCAGGGAGGGCAUGAGUGCGGGCCUCUCCUCCCGUUCCUGCCACCUGCCAUGGUUCAGCUCUGGAGGCCCCGGCCCACCCCGACAGGGACGGCCCGCCUGGCAGCAUGCGUGGAAUGCCGACUGAUGAAAUGCGGGGAUGUGGUCAUCAAAGUCCAGGGAACAGACCAAAGACACACACUGGACCUGCAGGUCCCAAGCCCUAUGCCUCGACCUCCUGCCAUGGGAGCCGCCAGUGGGAGCUUCAGAGCAGGGGACACUGUCCAUCUUGAGAGGGGCACACAGGCGAGUCCCUGGGUGUAAGGGGGAGACUGGGGCUGAUCAGAUGGUCCUGAGAUGGCAGCGGGGCCCACAGUGCAGAAGGGCAGGCAGGAGACGGACCGUGGGGAUCCCUGAGCCAGCUGGGCCCAGCCCAGGCACCACCCCAAGCACAGAAGUCCCUGCUCCACGCUUCGAGGCAGCCUUCCCAACUCGAGGGCCACCCCUGGCCCUGCCCUCCUGUGCCCUCCUCCUGCCGGCACUGGCACCCCGGCCUCAGCUCUGCUCCAGGCGCUCGCUGGGCUGCACCACGGUGUAGCUCCCCUGGCCCAGGGAGAGCUGCCGGCUGAAGAAGGACGUGGUGCGCUUUGGUUUCACCGGCUUGAUCUGCUCGCCUGUCGGGGAGUGAGGACCGGGGAGUGAGGACCGGGGAGUGAGGCCCGCACUGCGGAGAGGGCUUCCCGGGGAGGGCCCAGCCCCCAGGAAGCCUGGUUUGGGCUGGGCUCCCCUCUUCACAUCUGCCAACUUUCUGGCCUCACUCCCCCAGCCCCACUCUUCCACCUGACGGGAUGGGUGGGUGGACGUGUCACCAGCCCCCAAUCAGAGGCAAAUCAGUGUUUGAGUUGGAUGCGGGGCCAGCCGUGGUACCUGAGAAGCUUUUGCUAAAACCUAUUCAAGAACAGACCGAAGAAACCAAGCACCUGCAACCUGCAGGACGGCUGAAGGUGAGCCUCAACGAGGCAAAAGAACUCUUACAAGUUCACAAUUUCAAGCAGGCGGCCAAGGUCAACACCAACAGCCAUAAGUCAUGUUGCUACGGAACCUGUGAUAGGAAGCGGUAGAAAUGCGGUAGGCACUCCACCUCUGUGAUCUUCCUCCCCCUCAGCCGUAAGCCCAGCCUCAUUCUGAGAAAAACAUCAAACUCCAGUGAAGGGGAUCCUCCAAUGUCCCUGACCCCCCCCCCCCCCCAGCUGCCACGGUCAUCAAAAGGAGUCAGAAACGGUCACAGCCAAGAGGAGCCUAAAACACGUGACAACUGAAUGCAGUGUGGGGUCCAGAUGGUUCAUGAAAUAAAGGACAUGAGGCUACACUAAGGACUUCAGUUAAUAAUACAAUCAGCCCUGGCUGGUUUGGCUCAGUGGAUAGAGCAUCGGCCUGCGGACUGGACUGAAAGCUCUGGGUUCGAUUCCAGUCAAGGGCACAUGCCUGGGUCGCAGGCUUGAUCCCCAGUGUGGCGUGUGCAGGAGGCAGCCAAUCAAUGAUUCUCUCUCAUCAUUGAUGUUUCUAUCUCUCUCCCCCUCUCCCUGCCUCUCUGAAAUCAAUAAAAACAAACUACAAUAUCAAUAUUGGUUCAUCAAUUACAAUAUAUAUGCCAUGUUAAUGGAAGAUGUUAAUUUUUAAAAAUCAAGCAAAAAAAGGGAAAACAGGCAACA